GGGAAAAUACAGAAAUUGGAGGAGCAGAAUAUAACAUGAAAAGCUAUAGCUGUGGAAAAAGGCCAGCUGGUUCAACAUGCCAGUCCUUUUAAAGCAGAUCAAACCAUCAUUCAGACCAGCAGAUCCUGUCCUCUCUCAGCCUGCGGGAGACUCCUGACGGCCGGGGACGGAGAGCUGCGGCCGGAUGGUGCGAGGCUUGCAGAAUCCUGGUAAAAUGCAGUAAAGGAUUUAAGGUUAUCGUCUGUCUCUCUCUAACUUCUGACAUCUCUUUAUAACAAGAAAGAGUCACAGCCAACCGUAACAGGAGGGCAACACAAUGAAUCCUGGUAAGACAGGGAAGGGGGGAGGUUCAACUUUGCUGCCCCUUUGCCCCUAUUUCUUCCUCACAGAACAGAAGUGCCAUCUGUUACUAGUCCUAACAUGCAUGCAUUUGAUUUCCAUUCAGUAGUAACUAACACAGGAAAAAGAUUAUCCAGUGAUCUAAAGUACUAUCAGCAUUAGCAAAUCUUCCCAUCCAGUGUUUUGUUUGCACCUCUGAAGAUCUUGCAGAUGAAAUGGAUAUGGGUAAGUGCCUUAAUUGCCUAGAAUUAUUCUGUUCUCUGGUAGAGGACCAUAUGGUCAAGGUGAGGAGCAUGACCAGACUGAGGAUAUUUAGGUGCUUAGGUCAGAAAGAGGUUUAGGAAAAUCAAACAAGAGGACUGAUGGUUAGGUUCUCCAACCUGAAUUCACUACAAUCUCUAUUAUUCAGUGUUGUAUUAAAUCAUCAUAAUAAUGCAAAAUCAGGUCACAGCAUGUUGUGUGAGGCUAGACAGUAUAAAGUACAAGCCUGUUUUGAAGUAAUCUGUAAAAAUGUUCUUAUGCUUCACUCAAAUUUGUCACACUCAGGCAAAAAGCCCAACACCACCAAACACCCUCCAGUCCAGCAAACUCAGUUUAAGAUUAUGAUAGUUUUGGCUCAGGUAUUUCUUCAUAGCAUCUAGUAUGGGGCUGUGUUUCGAAUUUGUGCUGAAAACAGUGUUGAUAAUUCAGGGAUGUUUUAAUUAUUAGUGAGCAGUGCUCACACAGAGUCAAGACCUUUUCUGCUCCUCACACCACCACACCAGUGAGGAGGCUGGGAGUGCACAAAUGUUGAGAGGAGACACAGCUGGGACAGUUGACCCCAAGUGACCAAAGGGAUAUUCCAUACUGUAAGGUGUCAUGCUUAGUAUAUAAACUAGAGGUGGAAGUUGGCUGGAGACAGCGGCUCUGGGACUGCAGCUCACGGACUGGCUGGGCAUUGGCUUGGUGGUGGUAAGCAAUUGUUUUUUAUUUGCAUUGCUUUUUCUUCAGUUUUAUUUCUCUCCUUUUUUUCUUUUUUUUUUUUCUUUUGUUUUUUUUUUUUUUUUUUGUUGUAUUGGUGGUGUUGUCACUGCUAUUGAACUGUUGUUAUCUCAACCCAUGAGUUUUCUCUCUUUUACCCUUCCAAUUCUCUUCCCUCCAUCCUGCCAUGGGGGGAGUGGGUGAAUGGCUGUGUUCUGCUUAGUUGCUGGCUGGGGUUAAACCACAAAAAAGAUCCAAAGAAACAACAAAAACAUCUUUUCUCACUGCAGGUGCCAAAGACCAUCUGGAUCCUUCAUUUAUGCCUAGUUGUGCCUGAUGUCUUACUGUUGAAAGAAGUGGGGUACAGCAGCAGAUGCCAGCAAAGGAAAGGUGCCUACACAGUGCUAUUUGCAAAGCAAGGUGUUUUAUGAGAGCAUGGAACUGCAUGUCACAGCACCUUUUUUCCAUGGGUUGAGACUGUUGUAACACUUCUGCUACCCACGUACCCUCCACUGCAGCAAUUCUUUGGUACUGUGGAGAGCCAGUCACAGAGUGCUGAUCAGAUCAUGUGCCACCUGUUAUGUCCACUGGUAUAUGGGACUACAGCAAGGAAAAGAGAAUGACAAAGCUGUAGUGGUGUGGUGUCCCUGGCAGUCAGUAUAGUAAGCUGGAACAAACUGCAAAAACUCAAGAGUUAUUUUCCUCAGCAGGUCAGCGUUCAGGGAGACCCAGGGCACAGGGAGAGUUAUUGCCACCACACACCAUUCCCCCCCUUCCCCAGACCGGCAUUCUGGCCAGAGUUAAUGAUUCAUAAGAUUCUGCACUGAUUUCACUGUGAGCUUCCACAUUUGCAUAAGUAAAAGCUUCUGCAGCUUCUGUAGGGAAAUUCUUAGUGAAAUUGCAGCACAAAACAUUGAUAUUAUGUAAUUAUAGUAGUUCAUCGUAACUUAAAUGAAAUUGUUACUUUAAACUUGCUCUAAGUGGCUCACAAUGGAACUUUGUAUGACACACCUACAAAACAAAUGAGUUAAUCACAAUAUGUGUCAUUUUUAAUUUUUCUCUUUCAUUUUUCAUUCAGUCAUUCUCUCUUUGUAAUUAGCAUGAAGACUACCCUUCAGUCAAAACUAGCCACCUGGAAAGUUUCAGCUUGUAAUAUGCAGCUUUUUUUGUGAAUUAUGAAUGUGCUAAAGAAGAGACCUUUCUCCCCACACCCACUUCCUUGCAUAAUUCAAAUAUGAAUGAAUGAAUUUUAUUCAGGCUUGCCAAAAAAAUCAUAUUUCAGCUGAUAACAAGCACAAAAAAUUUCACAUGAAAAGAUUUUUUUUUUUAAAGAAUAUUCUGAUCAUGGGAGAACAGCAGGUUAAGACAGAAGUCUCAGUGCAGCCUUAACUAUAACAAUUGUUAGCAAGCAAAUACUAUAUCCAAGCACUAAAUUUUGCUUUGUGCUGCCCUGGUGCACAGUAGUGGGGAGAGAAUAGAAUAAUAAAAGCUGGUUCCCUUAUGCAAACAGCAGGGCACAGCACUUGACAGAAUACAAGAAGAAGGUGAGCCUGCCUAUUGUUCUGGCUUGCUAACCAUAUUCCUAGGGUCUGUGGGUUAGUUGUCACCUGUAGCUCCAGUCAGCUGGCAAAUGUAGUUCAAACACUAGCAAGGGGCAUGGUUUCGGUCCUUUUCAGGAGAACAGUUUUACCAGUUCCUUGCCUUCAAAUAUACUGUUCUAUUAAAUAAAGUAUUUGAAGGAAGUUCAUAUAAGUAACAUGAUGGUUUAACAGGUCAAAAGGGGAAUGGAAUAGUAAUAGGGUUUUUUCUGAUUAUGUAUUUAAAAAAAUAUGUAUCUGUAAAGAAGGUAUUAUCUGCAUCCCUCACUUACCUUAAUCCUUUUCAGGAAAAGCAGAAUGACAUUUUGGCUCAUGCCAGUACCAUUUUGAAAAUAAACUAUUACAGGAAAGAAAAGUUGCAAUCUGGAACACAUUUCUGCAUUGCGUUUUCUUUUGUUCCUAAUACUGCUUUGGGGAUAAGCCCUGCUCUCCUUUUCUACCCAAAAAACAGGAUUGAAAAGACCUUACAAAGCAUAUAUUAAACAACUGCCCAUUACAGUGGCUAAACAGUAGUGAAUACUUCAGUAUUACCUUACAGAUUCCCAUAAAUUAGAGGAUCAACAGAAAGGAUUUGCAAAUGGCAAGCAAAAAUUACCCUUCUA